GAACCAUGAUGAGUCAAUCCCAAACCUGACCUGUUCUGAUGAGGCAUAUUAUGGAUCUGACUGCUGAGUU